AUAAUCUAGUGAUCUGAUUACUUUUCAUAAUUUUCAUAAGAUAUGAUAAUUAUUUAAAAAUG
rnacentral:rRNA from 1 species